GUUGAGGGAGAUAGUUAUAUUUGAUCAGUGAUGACCUUCCCCCCCAGGUUGAGGGAGAUAGUUAUAUUUGAUCAGUGAUGAGCUUCCCCCCAGGUUGAGGGAGAUAGUUAUAUUUGUCAGUGAUGACCUUCCCCCCUAGGUUAUAUUUGAAUCGGGAGGUAAAUCGGCUUCAUUCCUGGGACAUGUUUGGGACUAGCUGGUGAGAGUCUC